rnacentral:rRNA from 1 species
UACAGAGGGUGCGAGCGUUGUCCGGAAUCACUGGGCGUAAAGGGCGCGUAGGCGGCUUGAUAAGCGUGCGGUGAAAGCCCGGGGCUCAACCCCGGGUCGGCCGUGCGAACUGUCGAGCUGGAGCACUGUAGAGGCAGGUGGAAUUCCGGGUGUAGCGGUGGAAUGCGUAGAGAUCCGGAAGAACACCGGUGGCGAAGGCGGUCUGCUGGGCAGUUGCUGACACUGAGGCGCGACAGCGUGGGGAGCAAACAGG